rnacentral:rRNA from 1 species
CAAUAGCUACUUGCAUCAUUCUAAAUAUGAUGCAAGAUCGACUAUGUCGAAUAAAAUUCUAGGUAGAAUUAUGAUAAUGACAUUGUCUGCCUAUGUGUCUUGACCAAAUUACGUGCCAGCAGUCGCGGUAAUACGUAGAAGACUAGUGUUAUUCAUGUUUAAUCGGUUUAAAGGGUACCUAGACGGUAAAUCAAGCCUAAAAGGAAAUAAAUGAAGGGACUAAUUUACUAGAGUUACUUAUGAGGGGGUAUUAAAGUACUGCUGGUGUAGAGAUGAAAUUCUGUCAUACCUCUUUUCAAUAGAAAAAUAAUGGCACAGGUAUAGGCGAAAGCAUCCCCUUAUGUGAUAACUGACGUUGAGGGACGAAGGCUUUGUGUAGCGAACAGGAUUAGAUACCCCAGUAGUCAAAGCAGAAAAUGAUGAAUGUCAUAGAUUAGAUAUAUAAGUUUAUUCUAUAAAUGAAAGUGUAAGCAUUCCACCUCAAGAGUAAUUUGGCAACAUUGGAACUGAAAUCAUUAGACCGUUUCUGAAACCAGUAGUGAAGUAUGUUGUUUAAUUUGAUGAUCCGCAAAAAACCUUACCACAAUUUGAAUAUUUAUAUCUUUUAUUGUUUUUCUUUUUAACUUUCUUCUGAUUUUCUACUUAAAAGAAAACAAUAACAAGAAAAAAGAGGCAAUAAGAU